AUUGAACGCUGGCGGCAUGCCUUACACAUGCAAGUCGAACGGCAGCACGGGUGCUUGCACCUGGUGGCGAGUGGCGAACGGGUGAGUAAUACAUCGGAACAUGUCCUGUAGUGGGGGAUAGCCCGGCGAAAGCCGGAUUAAUACCGCAUACGAUCUACGGAUGAAAGCGGGGGACCUUCGGGCCUCGCGCUAUAGGGUUGGCCGAUGGCUGAUUAGCUAGUUGGUGGGGUAAAGGCCUACCAAGGCGACGAUCAGUAGCUGGUCUGAGAGGACGACCAGCCACACUGGGACUGAGACACGGCCCAGACUCCUACGGGAGGCAGCAGUGGGGAAUUUUGGACAAUGGGCGAAAGCCUGAUGCAGCAAUGCCGCGUGUGUGAAGAAGGCCUUCGGAUUGUAAAGCACUUUUGUCCGGAAAGAAAACAUUGGCCCUAAUACGGUCGGGGGAUGACGGUACCGGAAGAAUAAGCACCGGCUAACUACGUG
rnacentral:rRNA from 1 species